rnacentral:rRNA from 1 species
GGCUUAGAGUUUGAUCAUGGCUCAGGAUGAACGCUAGCGACAGGCUUAACACAUGCAAGUCGAGGGGCAGCGGGGGUAGCAAUACCCGCCGGCGACCGGCGCACGGGUGAGUAACGCGUAUGCAACUUACCUAUCAGAGGGGGAUAACCCGGCGAGAGUCGGACUAAUACCGCAUGAAGCAGGGGCCCCGCAUGGGGAUAUUUGCUAAAGAUUCAUCGCUGAUAGAUAGGCAUGCGUUCCAUUAGGCAGUUGGCGGGGUAACGGCCCACCAAACCGACGAUGGAUAGGGGUUCUGAGAGGAAGGUCCCCCACAUUGGUACUGAGACACGGACCAAACUCCUACGGGAGGCAGCAGUGAGGAAUAUUGGUCAAUGGGCGUAAGCCUGAACCAGCCAAGUCGCGUGAGGGAUGAAGGUUCUAUGGAUCGUAAACCUCUUUUAUAAGGGAAUAAAGUGUGGGACGUGUCCUAUUUUGUAUGUACCUUAUGAAUAAGGAUCGGCUAACUCCGUGCCAGCAGCCGCGGUAAUACGGAGGAUCCGAGCGUUAUCCGGAUUUAUUGGGUUUAAAGGGUGCGUAGGCGGCCUUUUAAGUCAGCGGUGAAAGUCUGUGGCUCAACCAUAGAAUUGCCGUUGAAACUGGGAGGCUUGAGUAUGUUUGAGGCAGGCGGAAUGCGUGGUGUAGCGGUGAAAUGCUUAGAUAUCACGCAGAACCCCGAUUGCGAAGGCAGCCUGCCAAGCCAUGACUGACGCUGAUGCACGAAAGCGUGGGGAUCAAACAGGAUUAGAUACCCUGGUAGUCCACGCAGUAAACGAUGAUCACUAGCUGUUUGCGAUACAGUGUAAGCGGCACAGCGAAAGCGUUAA